GGGGGACCUGCGGAGGGAUCAUU
rnacentral:rRNA from 1 species